rnacentral:rRNA from 1 species
UACGUAGGGUGCGAGCGUUGUCCGGAAUUACUGGGCGUAAAGAGCUCGUAGGUGGUUUGUCGCGUUGUUCGUGAAAUCUCACGGCUUAACUGUGAGCGUGCGGGCGAUACGGGCAGACUAGAGUACUGCAGGGGAGACUGGAAUUCCUGGUGUAGCGGUGGAAUGCGCAGAUAUCAGGAGGAACACCGGUGGCGAAGGCGGGUCUCUGGGCCAUUACUGACGCUGAGGAGCGAAAGCGUGGGGAGCGAACAGG